rnacentral:rRNA from 1 species
GACGAACGCUGGCGGCGUGCUUAACACAUGCAAGUCGAACGGAAAGGCCCUGCUUUUGUGGGGUGCUCGAGUGGCGAACGGGUGAGUAACACGUGAGUAACCUGCCCUUGACUUUGGGAUAACUUCAGGAAACUGGGGCUAAUACCGGAUAGGAGCUCCUGCUGCAUGGUGGGGGUUGGAAAGUUUCGGCGGUUGGGGAUGGACUCGCGGCUUAUCAGCCUGUUGGUGGGGUAGUGGCUUACCAAGGCUUUGACGGGUAGCCGGCCUGAGAGGGUGACCGGCCACAUUGGGACUGAGAUACGGCCCAGAAUCCCACGGGAGGCAGCAGUGGGGAAUAUUGCACAAUGGGCGGCAGCCUGAUGCAGCAACGCCGCGUGCGGGAUGACGGCCUUCGGGUUGUAAACCGCUUUCGCCUGUGACGAAGCGUGAGUGACGGUAAUGGGUAAAGAAGCACCGGCUAACUACGUG